GCUUUCGUAGUGUAGUGGUUAUCACGUGUCCUUCACACGGACAAGGUCCUCGGUUCGAACCCGAGCGAAAGCA
rnacentral:tRNA from 1 species